UCUGGGCACCCUCCACACAAGCACUCCUCCACCCACAUAGCUUAGAGGCUGUGUACACAGAAACAGAAUUUGGAGUCUGUCUGACAGUCCUGGUGUAGGGGAUGGCUGCGGCUCCAUGAUGGGCACGCUGUGUUAUCUGGCAGAGAAAGGCUGAGUGUUUCUCCUGUGCAUCUCCAUGAGAAAUGUGGCAUCCACCUGCUUGAAAGGUCAGACAUCUCUGCAGUACAGGAGUCAAGGAGCACAAACUUAUGUGGAAAAAAGAUGCAAAAGCAGAAUUUGGAGCUAAAAAGGGUUGCACUACCAUAAAAUAAUGUGGAGACUGAUAGAAGAUCAACUUCAAGCCUCAGCAUUAAAUAAUCAGCACAAGACUGCAGUUUUGGAAGAUGAAGUCCUUGGACUGCUUUUCCAUUCCCAUCCCUGCUUCUAACCCAGCACCUCGCUGUGGCCAUCUGUGUCCCUCAAGAGCUGCCAGUUGCAUCUUUAUUACACUUCAUUGUUAUGAAGCGAAGCAAAAUGCCAUAGCGACAUUUGAGGCAAAAGAAAUUCCUUUUGUGAGAGGCAGCAAUUUCCAGCAGAUCCUGAACACUUUUGUGCUUGACUUCGAGGAAAGCAACACUAGCCAGCCUGCCUUUUAUUGAUGAUUUCUACCUGCUUUGCAGAAGGACAGAGAAGCCAGCUGAACACCACUCAGCCCUUCAUACUUAUUAGGCAGAUGAAGCUCCUUCACAUGCAUUAAAAUGCACACACCAUGCACAGAAACAUCCUCUCUUACAGAAAAUGGUUUUGGCAAAAUAAAAGCAUGU